rnacentral:rRNA from 1 species
GGUAGUCCACGCCGUAAACGAUGGAAGCUAGCCGUCGGGGGGUUUACCUUUCGGUGGCGCAGCCAACGCAUUAAGCUUCCCGCCUGGGGAAUACGGUCGCAAGAUUAAAACUCAAAGGAAUUGACGGGGACCCGCACAAGCGGCGGAGCAUGCGGAUUAAUUCGAUGCAACGCGAAGAACCUUACCAAGGCUUGACAUAUACGAGAACGGGCCAGAAAUGGUCAACUCUUUGGACACUCGUAAACAGGUGGUGCAUGGUUGUCGUCAGCUCGUGUCGUGAGAUGUUGGGUUAAGUCCCGCAACGAGCGCAACCCUCGUUCUAUGUUGCCAGCACGUAAUGGUGGGAACUCAUGGGAUACUGCCGGGGUCAACUCGGAGGAAGGUGGGGAUGACGCCAAAUCAUCAUGCCCCUUAUGUCUUGGGCUUCACGCAUGCUACAAUGGCCGGUACAGUGGGCUGCAAUACCGUGAGGUGGAGCGAAUCCCAAAAAGCCGGUCCCAGUUCGGAUUGAGGUCUGCAACUCGACCUCAUGAAGUCGGAGUCGCUAGUAAUCGCAGAUCAGCAACGCUGCGGUGAAUACGUUCCCGGGUCUUGUACACACCGCCCGUCAAGUCAUGAAAGUCGGUAACACCUGAAGCCGGUGGCCUAACCCCUUGUGGGAGGGAGCUGUCGAAGGUGGGAUCGGUAAUUAGGACUAAGUCGUAACAAGGUAACC